rnacentral:rRNA from 1 species
UACGUAGGGGGCGAGCGUUGUCCGGAGUUACUGGGCGUAAAGCGCACGCAGGCGGUCUGUUAAGUUUGGAGUGACAGUUGGUGGCUUAACUGCCAAAGUGCUUCGAAAACUCGACAGACUUGAGGGCUUCAGAGGGACACGGAAUUCCGGGUGGAGUGGUGAAAUGCGUAGAGAUCCGGAGGAACACCAAAGGCGAAGGCAGUGUCCUGGGGAGUACCUGACGCUCGAGGUGCGAAAGCCAGGGGAGCGAACGGG